CUCAAAACUCAGGAAUUCUGGGGGGAAUUUCUGCCCCUCUCCUCAAAACUCAGGAAUUUUGGGGGGAAUUUCUGCCCCUCUUCUUGAAACUCAGGAUUUUUUUUGGGAAUCUCAGCUCAUCCCUUGGAAACUCAGGAAUUUUGGGGGAUCUCUGCCUUUCCCCUCAAAACUCAGGGAUUUUUAUCUCAAAACAGGAUUUUUGGGUGGAAUUUCUGCCCCUCUCCUUGAAACUCAGGAAUUUUUUUGGGAAUCUCAGCUCGUCCCUUCAAAACUCAGGAAUUUUGGGGGAUCACCCCAAAGUGACAACAAACCUUUCCCUGGGUGUUUGUCCCAGUUUUUGGGGAUGAGCCACAAUCAGGGAAUGGGGUGGAUUCACCCCAAAAUGAACAAACAAACCCUUUCCUGCCCUCCCUGGGUGUUUUCCCCUCCCUUGGCACCGCUGUCACCACAGCUCGGUCCCAGCCAGACCCAGACCCCGGCUGGGGCCAGCACAGGCGCUGGAAUUUUCAUUCAGGGGAUGCUCACGUUUCUGGCAGGUUUGGGAUGAAAGGAAUCGGCUCCAGGGACACCAGGGAGUGGGAAAAAGUGAUGCAGCCGGGCCUCAGGCGGGGUUUUGGGGAAGGGUGAGAGCGAGGAGAGGAGCUGGUGGACCUGAAAUGUUAAUUCCUUCCAGCUGUUGUCAGUCUGGCAGGUUCUCAAAGGAAGUUUAAUAGACUGCAGUCGUCUCCCCUCGGCCCCGUCCCCCAUCCUGCCAGAACCUGGGAUUACAUGAGCUGCUCUGCCUUCCAAAAACCCGGGUUUAUUUUAUUUUAUUUUAUUUUAAUUUUUUUU
rnacentral:lncRNA from 12 species